rnacentral:rRNA from 1 species
AACGAACGCUGGCGGCAUGCCUAACACAUGCAAGUCGAACGAGACCUUCGGGUCUAGUGGCGCACGGGUGCGUAACGCGUGGGAACCUGCCCUUAGGUUCGGAAUAACUCCCCGAAAGGGGUGUUAAUACCGGAUAAUGUCUUCGGACCAAAGAUUUAUCGCCUUUGGAUGGGCCCGCGUUGAUUAGCUAGUUGGUAGGGUAAAAGCCUACCAAGGCGACGAUCCAUAGCUGGUCUGAGAGGAUGAUCAGCCACACUGGGACUGAGACACGGCCCAGACUCCUACGGGAGGCAGCAGUGGGGAAUAUUGGACAAUGGGCGAAAGCCUGAUCCAGCAAUGCCGCGUGAGUGAUGAAGGCCUUAGGGUUGUAAAGCUCUUUUACCCGGGAUGAUAAUGACAGUACCGGGAGAAUAAGCUCCGGCUAACUCCGUG